rnacentral:rRNA from 1 species
UAGGGAAUCUUCCACAAUGGACGCGAGUCUGAUGGAGCAACGCCGCGUGAGUGAAGAAGGUUUUCGGAUCGUAAAGCUCUGUUGUUGGUGAAGAAGGAUAGAGGCAGUAACUGGUCUUUAUUGACGGUAAUCAACCAGAAAGUCACGGCUAACUACGUGCCCAC